UCAAAGCACAGAAUAUUUUCAGGAGUGAAAAGGGAUCCUGGCCUGAACUAACCAACUUGGUCUCCUGUUCUGGGCCCUCCUGUGCCUCUCAUGCACCUCCUUUUCUUCCUUCCCUCCAGCCAAGCCCACUGUCACCAUCUCCCCCACCAAGAUUGAUCCCGCUUCCCCCAACACCAUCCUCCUCUGCACCGCCAGGGGCUUUUACCCCCUGGAGAUCGAGAUCCAGUGGCUGAAGAACGGGAAGCUGGAGGAGGAGGGCGUGGCCUUCGGGGAGGAGCUCCAGAACGGAGACUGGACCUACCAGCUCCAGGUGAUGCUGGAGACCCAGCCCCAGCGGGGGGACGUCUACACUUGCCAGGUGGGGCAUGUCAGCCUGGAGGCCCCCAUCACCGUCCAGUGGGAGCCCCGUUCCUCCAGCUCUGCCAGGAGCAAACUGUGGACAGGGAUCAUGGGGGCCGUGAUUGGAGCGGCCUUCCUGGCAGUGGGGCUCUUCUCCUACCUGAAGAGCAAGAAAGCCACUCCCAUCCAACCUCCUGCAGGUGAGUUUCUCCUCUUCCUCCCUCAUCUCAGCCUCUCC